rnacentral:rRNA from 1 species
AGAGUUUGAUCAUGGCUCAGAUUGAACGCUGGCGGCAUGCUUUACACAUGCAAGUCGAACGGUAACGCGGGGGCAACCCUGGCGACGAGUGGCGAACGGGUGAGUAAUACAUCGGAACAUGUCCUGGAGUGGGGGAUAGCUCGGCGAAAGCCGGAUUAAUACCGCAUACGCUCUGAGGAGGAAAGCGGGGGACCGUAAGGCCUCGCGCUGCAGGAGUGGCCGAUGUCGGAUUAGCUAGUUGGUGAGGUAAAGGCUCACCAAGGCGACGAUCCGUAGCUGGUCUGAGAGGAUGAUCAGCCACACUGGGACUGAGACACGGCCCAGACUCCUACGGGAGGCAGCAGUGGGGAAUUUUGGACAAUGGGGGCAACCCUGAUCCAGCCAUGCCGCGUGAGUGAAGAAGGCCUUCGGGUUGUAAAGCUCUUUCGGACGGGACGAAAUGGUUACGGUGAAUAACUGUGACUGAUGACGGUACCGUAAUAAGAAGCACCGGCUAACUACGUGCCAGCAGCCGCGGUAAUACGUAGGGUGCGAGCGUUAAUCGGAAUUACUGGGCGUAAAGCGUGCGCAGGCGGUUCGCCAAGUCAGGUGUGAAAUCCCCGGGCUUAACCUGGGAAUUGCGCUUGAAACUAGCGGGCUUGAGUGUGGCAGAAGGGGGUGGAAAUUCCACGUGUAGCAGUGAAAUGCGUAGAGAUGUGGAGGAACACCGAUGGCGAAGGCAGCCCC